AUUGAACGCUGGCGGCAGGCCUAACACAUGCAAGUCGAGCGAGCGGCGGCCGGGUGAGUAAUGUAUGGGGACACCCCGAUAGAGGGGGAUAACUACUGGAAACGCUAGCUAAUAACGCCUACUCUCGGAUACCGCAUAUGGGAUUAGCUAUUAGGUGAGGUAAUGGCUCACCUAGGCGACGCUCCCUAGAUGGUCUGAGAGGAUGAUCAGCCACACUGGGACUGAGAAACGGCCCAGAAUCCAACGGAGGAAGCAGUGGGGAAUAUGGCACAAUGGGCGCAAGCCUGAUGCAGCCAUGCGGGGUGUAUGAAGAAGGCCCUAGGGUUGUAAAGUACUGGCAGUCGGGAGGCGGUACCGACAGAAGAAGCACCGGCUAACUCCGUGCCAGCAGCCGCGGUAAUAC
rnacentral:rRNA from 1 species